rnacentral:rRNA from 1 species
GACGAACGCUGGCGGCGUGCCUAACACAUGCAAGUCGAGCGGAAAUAAUUGACAGCUUGCUUUUGGUUAUUUUAGCGGCGGACGGGUGAGGAACGCGUGGGCAACCUGCCUGUUACAGGGGGAUCACACAGGGAAACUUGUGCUAAUACCGCAUAACACAGCGAGGUAGCAUUACCUUGUUGUAAAAGGAGAAAUCCGGUGACAGAUGGGCCCGCGUCCAAUUAGCUAGUUGGUGAUGUAACGGACCACCAAGGCGACGAUUGGUAGCCGAACUGGGAGGUUGAUCGGCCACAUUGGGACUGAGACACGGCCCAGACUCCUACGGGAGGCAGCAGUGGGGAAUAUUGCGCAAUGGGGGAAACCCUGAUGCAGCAACGCCGCGUGAAGGAUGAAGGUUUUCGGAUUGUAAACUUCUUUAGUCAGGGACGAAAAAAAUGACGGUACCUGAAGAAUAAGCCACGGCUAACUACGUGCCAGCCGCCGCGGUAA